UGUCCUACGGGAGGCAGCAGUGGGGAAUAUUGCACAAUGGGGGAAACCCUGAUGCAGCAACGCCGCGUGAGUGAAGAAGUCAUUCGUGAUGUAAAGCUCUAUCAGCAGGGAAGAAAAUGACGGUACCUGAGGAAUAAGCCACGGCUAACUACGUGCCAGCAGCCGCGGUAAUACGUAGGUGGCAAGCGUUAUCCGGAUUUACUGGGUGUAAAGGGCGUGUAGGCGGGAAAGCAAGUCAGAUGUGAAAACCACGGGCUCAACCUGUGGCCUGCCUUUGAAACUGGUUUUC
rnacentral:rRNA from 1 species